UCUUGAUAGAGGAAACUUUUUUUUUUCUAGGAUGUUUAUUUUUUAUAAGAAUCUCUAUAUUUGUACAUAUUUUGUAUAGUUUGUUAGAUAUGUAAUGUAUGGAUGUGUUUGGUUCAUUUACAACAUCUUAUAAAAAAAUCUAGAAAGUAAAGGCUGGGCCUGAGUAUUUUCCAUAAUUAAUGAAUUAUUCACUAUUGUUCUAUAUACAGUUCUAUCAGUAGGUGGUGCUGUUUGAAGUACUGUUUGAAGAUGUUUAUGUUCUCUAUGGUAUCUACUUGUUUGUCUGAAUAAAAUACUGCAUCGAG